UACGUAGGGCGCAAGCGUUGUCCGGAAUUAUUGGGCGUAAAGAGUUCGUAGGCGGCCUGUUGCGUCCGCUGUGAAAUCCCGGGGCUCAACCCCGGGCCUGCAGUGGAUACGGGCUGGCUAGAGGCAGGCAGGGGAGAACGGAAUUCCUGGUGUAGCGGUGAAAUGCGCAGAUAUCAGGAGGAACACCGGUGGCGAAGGCGGUUCUCUGGGCCUGUACUGACGCUGAGGAGCGAAAGCGUGGGGAGCGAACAGG
rnacentral:rRNA from 1 species